CCGGAAUUGCUAGUAAUGGCAGGUCAGCAUACUGCCGUGAAUACGUUCCCGGGCCUUGUACACACCGCCCGUCACACCAUGAGAGUUGGGGAUACCCGAAGCCUGUGAGCCAACUUUUUAAGAGGCAGCAGUCGAAGGUAGAAUCAAUGAUUGGGGUGAAGUCGUAACAAGGUAUC
rnacentral:rRNA from 1 species